GAAUUCUGCAGAAUGACCAGCGGCUCCGUGUGAUCCGUGUCUCGGCACUUCCUUCACCAAAAUCAAAAUGUCAUCGUUUGCAAAAUUAAUCUACACACUCUGCCUCUUUCUCCCAGGGUCCGCUGUCGGUGUGAGGGUGAACCAGUCUCCUGCUGCUCUGACACGUCUCCGAGGACAGACAGCUACGUUCACCUGCUCCCUGCUACCUGGAGAGGGGGAGAUAGUUUCAAUGAGGGAAUUCUGGUUUCGGACGAAAGACAACCCGGAGCUCAGGGACAACAAGACCAAGAGUUUUCUGAAGACAGGCGACCGACUGUCCGUGUCUGUGGGCUCGCUGGUCAUUCGGGAGGUGACUGUGCACGAUGCAGACACUUACCAUUGUGUGGUACUGAUUGGUGAUACAUUGCCCUGGAAAACGUUUACAGGAAACGGAACCACAUUACAUAUCCAAGGUAAUUAAUAUAAUAAUAAACAGGAACAGGCCCUUCAGCCCACAAUGUUCGUGCGGCCCAUGAGGCCAAGUUAAACAAACAUGUGUCUAUCCAAAAGUCUCUUAAACUCUACGAUCGAAUCUGCCUCCACAGCCACCCCGAGAUCUGAUGCGAUGGAGUUGGUGAAUCACACGAAUCCCAAGUUCCCCAACCCGAAACGCCGCCUGUCCAUUCUCUCCACAGAUGCGGCCUUAACCGCUGAGUUCCUCCAGCAUUUUGUGUUUUGCUUAAGACUGCAGCGCCUGCAGUUCCAUGUCUCUACUUCUAUUUCAUUCCUGCAUUUCAUCUCUCUCUAUUAAUGCUCAUUUUCCGGCACAAACCAGCCCAGUCUGACAAAAGGUCCCGAACUUAAACGUCAUAUAUCCAUGAUUUCCAGAGAUGCUGCCUGACCCGCUGAGUUACUCCAGCGCUUUGAGUCUAUCUUUGGUAAAAAUAAACCUCGCAUCUA